rnacentral:rRNA from 1 species
GACGAACCUUGCUAACGUUAUUCGGAAUUACUGGGCUUAAAGGGCGCGUAGGCGGGUGCUCAAGUCCGUGGUGAAAUCCUCCGGCUCAACCGGAGAACUGCCUCGGAUACUGGGUGCCUCGAGGGUGGUAGGGGUAUGCGGAACUAUCGGUGGAGCGGUGAAAUGCGUUGAUAUCGAUAGGAACUCCGGUGGCGAAGGCGGCAUACUGGACCACCUCUGACGCUGAGGCGCGAAAGCCAGGGGAGCAAACGGGG